GUCGGGAAUUUUGGGCAAUGGGCGAAAGCCUGACCCAGCAACGCCGCGUGAAGGAUGAAGUAUUUCGGUAUGUAAACUUCGUAAGAAUAGGAAGAAUAAAUGACGGUACUAUUUGUAAGGUCCGGCUAACUACGUGCCAGCAGCCGCGGUAAUACGUAGGGACCAAGCGUUGUUCGGAUUUACUGGGCGUAAAGGGCGCGUAGGCGGCGUGGUAAGUCAGCUGUGAAAUCUCCGAGCUUAACUCGGAACGGUCAGCUGAUACUGCUGUGCUAGAGUACAGAAAGGGCAAUCGGAAUUCUUGGUGUAGCGGUGAAAUGCGUAGAUAUCAAGAGGAACACCUGAGGCGAAGGCGGGUUGCUAGGCUGAUACUGACGCUGAGGCGCGAAAGCUAGGGUAGCAAACGGGAUUAGAAACCCGGGUAGUCC
rnacentral:rRNA from 1 species